UUAAGCAUAUCAAUAAGCGGAGGAAAAGAAACCAACAGGGAUUGCCCUAGUAACGGCGAGUGAAGCGGCAACAGCUCAAAUUUGAAAUCUGGCCUUCGGGUCCGAGUUGUAAUUUGUAGAGGAUGCUUUUGGCGCGGUGCCUUCCGAGUUCCCUGGAACGGGACGCCUUAGAGGGUGAGAGCCCCGUACGGUUGGACACCAAGCCUCUGUAAAGCUCCUUCGACGAGUCGAGUAGUUUGGGAAUGCUGCUCUAAAUGGGAGGUAAAUUUCUUCUAAAGCUAAAUACCGGCCAGAGACCGAUAGCGCACAAGUAGAGUGAUCGAAAGAUGAAAAGCACUUUGAAAAGAGGGUUAAAUAGCACGUGAAAUUGUUGAAAGGGAAGCGUUUACGGCCAGACCUUUUCCUGGCGGAUCAUCUGGUGUUCUCACCAGUGCACUCCGCCAGGUUUAGGCCAGCAUCGGCUCCCGUAGGGGGAUAAAAGCAGUGGGAAAGUAGCUCCCUCGGGAGUGUUAUAGCCCGCUGCACAAUACCCUUACAGGGGCCGAGGACCGCGCUUUUGCAAGGAUGCUGGCGUAAUGGUCGUCAACGACCCGUCU
rnacentral:rRNA from 1 species